GAUAAACGCUGGCGGCGUGCCUAAUACAUGCAAGUCGAGCGAAUGGAUUAAGAGCUUGCUCUUAUGAAGUUAGCGGCGGACGGGUGAGUAACACGUGGGUAACCUGCCCAUAAGACUGGGAUAACUCCGGGAAACCGGGGCUAAUACCGGAUAACAUUUUGAACCGCAUGGUUCGAAAUUGAAAGGCGGCUUCGGCUGUCACUUAUGGAUGGACCCGCGUCGCAUUAGCUAGUUGGUGAGGUAACGGCUCACCAAGGCAACAAUGCGUAGCCGACCUGAGAGGGUGAUCGGCCACACUGGGACUGAGACACGGCCCAGACUCCUACGGGAGGCAGCAGUAGGGAAUCUUCCGCAAUGGACGAAAGUCUGACGGAGCAACGCCGCGUGAGUGAUGAAGGCUUUCGGGUCGUAAAACUCUGUUGUUAGGGAAGAACAAGUGCUAGUUGAAUAAGCUGGCACCUUGACGGUACCUAACCAGAAAGCCACGGCUAACUACGUGCCAGCCGCCGCCGUAA
rnacentral:rRNA from 1 species